CCUACGGGAGGCAGCAGUGGGGAAUAUUGGACAAUGGGGGCAACCCUGAUCCAGCAAUGCCGCGUGUGUGAUGAAGGCCUUAGGGUUGUAAAGCACUUUCACUGGUGAAGAUGAUGACGGUAACCAGAGAAGAAGCCCCGGCUAACUUCGUGCCAGCAGCCGCGGUAAUACGAAGGGGGCGAGCGUUGUUCGGAAUUACUGGGCGUAAAGGGAGCGCAGGCGGUUCAUUAAGUUAGGCGUGAAAGCCCCGGGCUCAACCUGGGAACUGCGCUUAAUACUGAUGAACUAGAAAACAGGAGAGGGUAGUGGAAUUUCCAGUGUAGAGGUGAAAUUCGUAGAUAUUGGAAAGAACACCGGUGGCGAAAGCGGCUACCUGGCCUGAUUUUGACGCUGAGGCUCGAAAGCGUGGGGAGCAAACAGGAUUAGAUACCCUGGUAGUCCACGCCGUAAACGAUGACAGCUAGAUGUCGGGGGGUUGCCCCUCGGUGUCGCCGCUAACGCAUUAAGCUGUCCGCCUGGGAAGUACGGUCGCAGGAUUAAAACUCAAAGGAAUUGACGG
rnacentral:rRNA from 1 species